AAGCGGAGGAAAAGAAACCAACAGGGAUUGCCUCAGUAACGGCGAGUGAAGCGGCAAAAGCUCAAAUUUUAAAGCUGGCACCUUCGGUGUCCGCGUUGUAAUUUUGUGAGGCAUCUCCGGGUAGGGCGCUGGCCUAAGUUCCUUGGAACAGGACGUCAUAGAGGGUGAGAAUCCCGUGCUUGGCUGGCUGUCCCCGUCCAUGUGAGGUGUCUUCGACGAGUCGAGUUGUUUGGGAAUGCAGCUCAAAAUGGGUGGUAAAUUUCAUCUAAAGCUAAAUAUUGGUGGGAGACCGAUAGCGCACAAGUAGAGUGAUCGAAAGAUGAAAAGCACUUUGAAAAUAGAGUUAAAAAGUACGUGAAAUUGUUGAAAGGGAAGCGCUUGAGACCAGACUUCGGUGGGGGGUGAUCAGCUGUCCUUCUGGGCGGUGCACUUGCUCCCCUCCGGGCCAGCAUCGGUUGGGGCGGCGGGAUAAAGAUCCCGGGAAUGUGGCUCCUUUCGGGGAGUGUUAUAGCCCGGGUGAAUGCCGUCAGCUCCGACCGAGGACCGCGCCUUCGGGCUAGGAUGCUUGGCAUAAUGGUCUUCAGCGACCCGUCUUG
rnacentral:rRNA from 1 species